rnacentral:rRNA from 1 species
GACGAACGCUGGCGGCGUGCUUAACACAUGCAAGUCGAACGGAAAGACCCUGCUUUUGUGGGGUGCUCGAGUGGCGAACGGGUGAGUAACACGUGAGUAACCUGCCCUUGACUUUGGGAUAACUUCAGGAAACUGGGGCUAAUACCGGAUAGGAGCUCCUGCUGCAUGGUGGGGGCUGGAAAGUUUCGGCGGUUGGGGAUGGACUCGCGGCUUAUCAGCUUGUUGGUGGGGUAGUGGCUUACCAAGGCUUUGACGGGUAGCCGGCCUGAGAGGGUGACCGGCCACAUUGGGACUGAGAUACGGCCCAGACUCCUACGGGAGGCAGCAGUGGGGAAUAUUGCACAAUGGGCGGAAGCCUGAUGCAGCAACGCCGCGUGCGGGAUGACGGCCUUCGGGUUGUAAACCGCUUUCGCCUGUGACGAAGCGUGAGUGACGGUAAUGGGUAAAGAAGCACCGGCUAACUACGUG